GACGAACGCUGGCGGCGUGCUUAACACAUGCAAGUCGAGCGGUAAGGCCCUUUCGGGGUACGACGAGCGGCGAACGGUAGGAGUAACAACGUGGGUGGACCUCGCCCCCACCCGACGUCCUUCGGGUAGGGUAAAGUAACCGUCCGGGUAAACCGGGGGGUAAACCCGGGUUAACUUAAACUUACGGUAGGUAAUUAGUACGUACCCUACCUAGUACGGACCGACUAGUUUGGUUUGGGGGUUGGGGGUAAAGGGAAACCGUUCCGUUUGGUCGGGCCGGUCGUAGGGAAGGUAGGGUCCCGGGGCCCC
rnacentral:rRNA from 1 species